AACGCGAAGAACCUUACCAGGUCUUGACAUCCUUUGACCACUCUAGAGAUAGAGCUUUCCCUUCGGGGACAAAGUGACAGGUGGUGCAUGGUUGUCGUCAGCUCGUGUCGUGAGAUGUUGGGUUAAGUCCCGCAACGAGCGCAACCCUUAUUGUUAGUUGCCAUCAUUUAGUUGGGCACUCUAGCGAGACUGCCGGUGACAAACCGGAGGAAGGUGGGGAUGACGUCAAAUCAUCAUGCCCCUUAUGACCUGGGCUACACACGUGCUACAAUGGGAAGUACAACGAGUCGCUAGACCGCGAGGUCAUGCAAAUCUCUUAAAGCUUCUCUCAGUUCGGAUUGCAGGCUGCAACUCGCCUGCAUGAAGCCGGAAUCGCUAGUAAUCGCGAAUCAGCACGCCGCGGUGAAUACGUUCCCGGGUCUUGUACACACCG
rnacentral:rRNA from 1 species